GCAUAGCGACUAUCGUGGCAUAUCAAUAAGCGGAGGAAAAGAAACUAACAAGGAUUCCCUUAGUAACGGCGAGUGAAGCGGGAAGAGCUCAAAUUUGAAAUCUUCAAGGUUUUACCUUGACGAAUUGUAGUUUAAAGAAGUGUUUUCUGUUGGAGUUUCGGUAAAAGUUCUUUGGAAUAGGACAUCAUAGAGGGUGAGAAUCCCGUAUUUGACCGUUACUUUCCAGCUGUGUGAUACACUUUCAAAGAGUCGGAUUGUUAGGGAAUGCAGUCCAAAAUGGGUGGUAAAUUUCAUCUAAAGCUAAAUAUUGGCGAGAGACCGAUAGCGAACAAGUACCGUGAGGGAAAGAUGAAAAGAACUUUGAAAAGAGAGUUAAACAGUACGUGAAAUUGUCAAAAGGGAAGCGUUUGACACCAGUGUUGUUUAGUUGAAAAUCAAUUCAAUAAUUUUUGAUUUUGAGUAGUAUUGACCUCAUCAGCUUGCUGCUCUCUUUUCGGAAAUUAUUGAAUGCACUUUUCAGUUAACAAGUCAACAUCAAUUUCUUUUGUUGUAAAAGGGUAAGAGGAAGGUGGCUUACGUUUCGGCGUAAGUGUUUAUAGCCUUUUACCUCUGCAAUCGGAGAGAUUGAGGACAGCAGCGUAGAUCCUUCGGGGUUAGAUACACUUGUGCUAAGCUAUAGCCUUGUAUAGACAACUUGUUGACUAUGCUCAGUCAUGUAGCUUACUCGCAUUGUGCUAUUUUACCUACGCUUAGGAUGUUGAUAGUCACAGCGUGUAC
rnacentral:rRNA from 1 species